rnacentral:lncRNA from 12 species
AGGAACUAUAAUCCAUUAUAACUUAAAAGUGAAUAAAACAUGGUGUUUAUAAUGUGUUAUAAAAUUAUCACACUCAUAAAAAAUAUAACUACUAAUACGUAGGUAUUAUAAUGUAUUCUAACUAUUGUUAUGAUUAACCAAUAGACAAUAAAACAAAUUAUAAGGUGUUUUUUUAAGGCAAUGGAUCCAGAGAGAUUCACCCAAAAAUGAAUUCAAUUAAUUCAAAAUCAAUUCUGUCAUCAAUUAUUCCUCUCAUGCCUUUCCAAACUUGUAUGAGUUUCUUUCUUCUAUAGAAAACACACACAAAAAAAGACAUUCUAAAAAAGUUAUGGUUCCACUGAUGUCCACUGUAUUAAAAAAUAAAAAAGGAAACCUGAAACUGGUUGGUUAGUGACAUUCUUCAAAAUAACAUUUUUUUUUUCUUUUUUUUUUUUUUAUGCAUACAGGUCUGGAAUGACAUGAAGUGAGUCAAUGAUGUUUUGGGUGGGCUUUAAAACUGACAUCAUAAAACAAUGAAUGCAGGCUUUAUAGAAUCUUUCAUAUAGUUGCCAUUUACUAUAGUUUUGGUUGUGUGAGAUAAACAUCAAAACAGAAUGCUCACCAGUAAUUUCCUAUAGAUAUCUUAUGGAUAUCCUAUAUGGAUAUAAAAAAACAUUUUCUCUACUGAAAGCUGCUGUUUAAUUUGCAUACUGUGCUCAGCAUAUUCUCAGCCUAUGGAUCUCAACCAUUUGAAAGACGAGUGUUUGUUUUAGAAAUGCUAAUGCGGCCCACCUCAAAGUGGAUGCACACACCUCUACACAGCUCUGAACAUGUGGCCAAACACCGCGCCACCUGCACCAGCGAGCACAGAGCCAGAGAGAGACGUCUGCCAAAAAGGGGAACUGAAGUACUCCAGAAGAGCAGAGGAGAACAAUAGCACCACUCCUCCCUCUCCUUCCUCCCCCUGGACCCCUCCCUCCUCACGCCCUCAGAAGACGCGCCCCGAGAAGGUUAAUACGCCCGCUUUGAUCUCUGUCAGGCCACACCGACCGAGCUCCCAGCCAGCCUUUGGUGUAGGCCUGCAUCAACACCACCCGCAACAUCAGAUUGAGCUGCUCCACGUGAUAGUACUUCAGAAACACCUGCAAGACACAAACACACAUAUCUAUGCAGAUGCAGGGAAGCAUGCUCAUACCUUACAAUAAAAACACCACCUUCAUGUGUCUGUCUGGGACACGAAAUCAUCAAGGGGUUCAGGUUGAAAAAGGACACUUUGAACUUUUUCUUUUUUUUUUCCAAAGAUGCAGAUGCCAACCAUCUGGUCAAUUAGAUCCCCAGAUAACUACCUUAACUUCUCAGACAGACAGAAGUGAGAGUGAGCGAUUGUGAAAGAAUGUUAGGAACGAAACCAUGACCUUGGUGCAUAAAUACUUUUUCUGCUAGCAUUGGUCUGAAAAAAAAAUAAAAAAUAAAUGCAUGCACUAAAGGAUAAGCUUUUCUGUGCUAUUAAAGGUAAAUUAAUAAUAAAUUACAUACUGUAUAUCUAUUGUAGACAUCCCACUUAACCCUCUCUGAGGCACAAAGUCAGACAUGUGUAGAGCUUGUUUAGUUAGUUUGGUCAAUGUCCAGAGCUCUUCCUGCUCUGUGCAUUUUCUAGUAGACACAGUUUUUAUGAGCACACAAAUGAAAGCCUAUGAUAUAAGUUGAAUGCCAGUCAUAGUAAUUUUGGAUGCAACAUGGAGCACUUUUUUAAACUAAUACAUUUUAAUUUUCACGUCACAUAACCAACUCCAUAUGUAUGGAUUUUCUGAUGUAGUAAACUUGCUCAGCAGCUCACCUGGUACAACACUGCCUUGUAGAAGCAAGCAAGCAUUUUUAUUUUACACUGCCGGUUAGGUUUAAUAAUUACGUGGUUAAGUGUAUAUGUGGCUAUUUCCAAAUGGGGCAGAGCAUUAACCUUUUAGCACCACUCACCAGACAGCAAAUCUCUUAAUUUCUGUGAUAUGUACAACAGCAAACAAAAUUAAACAUUGGCAGAUUUAUGUUCAUCAGUUUUUGGAUAAAGCUUGCACCACUGACUGAACAUUUCACUUUAAAAGUGUCAUAUAUUGUGCUAGAAGCAACGUAAUAUCAUUUGGCAGAAAUGUCAUCACAGACAUUUUUCCCAGUGAACCUGGGUUGCUGUUAUUGCUGCCAAAUGUGCUUUAGGUAAUGAUAACUCCGUUUUUUUCUUCAGCAAAGUUAAUACAAAUCUGGUUUAGGCUUUGUCAUUCAACAAAAUGAAGGGG